rnacentral:rRNA from 1 species
AUUGAACGCUGGCGGCAGGCUUAACACAUGCAAGUCGAGCGGGGAAAGGUAGCUUGCUACCUGACCUAGCGGCGGACGGGUGAGUAAUGCUUAGGAAUCUGCCUAUUAGUGGGGGACAACGUUCCGAAAGGAACGCUAAUACCGCAUACGUCCUACGGGAGAAAGCAGGGGAUCUUCGGACCUUGCGCUAAUAGAUGAGCCUAAGUCGGAUUAGCUAGUUGGUGGGGUAAAGGCCUACCAAGGCGACGAUCUGUAGCGGGUCUGAGAGGAUGAUCCGCCACACUGGGACUGAGACACGGCCCAGACUCCUACGGGAGGCAGCAGUGGGGAAUAUUGGACAAUGGGCGCAAGCCUGAUCCAGCCAUGCCGCGUGUGUGAAGAAGGCCUUUUGGUUGUAAAGCACUUUAAGCGAGGAGGAGGCUCCUUUAGUUAAUACCUAAAGUGAGUGGACGUUACUCGCAGAAUAAGCACCGGCUAACUCUGUGCCAGCCGCCGCAGUAAAAC